ensembl:lncRNA
CCUGUUAUGACACAGUGUAGCGCCUUCUGGUCCCUCAGGAUGGGGUAGAGAAUGCCCCCAAAUCACCCCAUGUUUUGGAGGGGAAAAUACUAACUGACACCAGCUCAUAGGAAUGCCCACUGGAGGGAUGUGAAAGAUGCUGCCUGGGAUCUGUGACCUUUGCCCUUUCCCAGCGUGACUGAUUUCCUCUGGUGUUCAGAGUGGACUGAGGUUUUCUCGCAUCAUUUGAAAUCAAUGGUGUUGAAAGAGAUGGCACCACGUCAGGCAAGAUUCGGAGAGGCCUCAGCCAUCAAACCGCUCUAUAGGAGCUCAUGUUAUGACAACUCUUCCUUGGGCUUGGGGCUGUUCUGGAAGGAGACAACAGCUGAGUACUUCCUCAUCCAAUCUCCAGUCCACACAGCCUCACCCACCUGGUACACACUACUGAUGGGGC